rnacentral:rRNA from 1 species
UACGUAGGGUGCGAGCGUUGUCCGGAUUUAUUGGGCGUAAAGAGCUCGUAGGCGGUUUGUCGCGUCGGCCGUGAAAUCUCCACGCUUAACGUGGAGCGUGCGGUCGAUACGGGCAGACUUGAGUUCGGUAGGGGAGACUGGAAUUCCUGGUGUAGCGGUGAAAUGCGCAGAUAUCAGGAGGAACACCGGUGGCGAAGGCGGGUCUCCUGGGCCGAUACUGACGCUGAGGAGCGAAAGCGUGGGGAGCGAACGGG